GAUGAACGCUGGCGGCGUGCCUAAUACAUGCAAGUCGAGCGAACGGACGAGAAGCUUGCUUUUCUGAUGUUAGCGGCGGACGGGUGAGUAACACGUGGAUAACCUACCUAUAAGACUGGGAUAACUUCGGGAAACCGGAUCUAAUACCGGAUAAUAUUUUGAACCGCAUGGUUCAAAAGUGAAAGACGGUCUUGCUGUCACUUAUAGAUGGAUCCGCGCUGCAUUAGCUAGUUGGUAAGGUAACGGCUUACCAAGGCAACGAUGCAUAGCCGACCUGAGAGGGUGAUCGGCCACACUGGAACUGAGACACGGUCCAGACUCCUACGGGAGGCAGCAGUAGGGAAUCUUCCGCAAUGGGCGAAAGCCUGACGGAGCAGCGCCGCGUGAGUGAUGAAGGUCUUCGGAUCGUAAAACUCUGUUAUUAGGGAAGAACAUAUGUGUAAGUAACUGUGCACAUCUUGACGGUACCUAAUCAGAAAGCCACGGCUAACUACGUG
rnacentral:rRNA from 1 species